UACGUAGGGGGCAAGCGUUGUCCGGAAUCAUUGGGCGUAAAGCGCGUGUAGGCGGUUCGGUAAGUCGGCUGUGAAAGUCUAGGGCUCAACCCUGGGAUGCCGGUCGAUACUGCCGGACUAGAGUUCGGAAGAGGCGAGUGGAAUUCCCGGUGUAGCGGUGAAAUGCGCAGAUAUCGGGAGGAACACCAAUGGCGAAGGCAGCUCGCUGGGACGUUACUGACGCUGAGACGCGAAAGCGUGGGGAGCAAACAGG
rnacentral:rRNA from 1 species